rnacentral:rRNA from 1 species
AGAGUUUGAUCCUGGCUCAGGAUGAACGCUAGCGGCAAGCCUAACACAUGCAAGUCGAACGGUAACUUUUGGUGCUUGCACCGAAAGACGAGUGGCGAACGGGUGCGUAACGCGUAUGCAAUCUGCCUUUUACUAGGGUAUAGCCCAGAGAAAUUUGGAUUAAUCCCCUAUAAUAUCAUUUAAUCGCAUGAUUUUAUGAUUAAAGCUUCGGCGGUAAAAGAUGAGCAUGCGUCCUAUUAGUUAGUAGGUGAGGUAACGGCUCACCUAGACUCCGAUAGGUAGGGGUCCUGAGAGGGAGAUCCCCCACACUGGUACUGAGACACGGACCAGACUCCUACGGGAGGCAGCAGUGAGGAAUAUUGGACAAUGGACGAAAGUCUGAUCCAGCUAUGCCGCGUGCAGGAUGACGGCCCUAUGGGUUGUAAACUGCUUUUAUACAGGAAGAAAAACUCCGACGUGUCGGAACUUGACGGUACUGUAAGAAUAAGGAUCGGCUAACUCCGUGCCAGCCGCCGCGGUAAUAC